UACGUAGGGUGCAAGCGUUAUUCGGAUUUACUGGGCGUAAAGCGUGCGUAGGCGGUCAUGUAAGUCGGGUGUGAAAGCCCCGGGCUCAACCUGGGGAUUGCAUUCGAGACUGCAUGGCUAGGAUGCGGAAGAGGGAAGCGGAAUUUCCGGUGUAGCGGUGAAAUGCGUAGAUAUCGGAAGGAACACCAGUGGCGAAAGCGGCUUCCUGGUCCAGCAUCGACGUUCAGGCACGAAAGCGUGGGGAGCAAACAGG
rnacentral:rRNA from 1 species